CAAAAUAUAGCUUAAUUUAAAAGUAGUUCAUUUACAUUGAAUUGAUAUUUAAUAUUUUUUUUGG
rnacentral:tRNA from 1 species